AUAAGCGAUUCUAAAACCAAAAAAAAAUUCUCUCUCUCACCUUCGUUUUCUCCAUAGUUUCUAAAACCGAAAAAAAAUUCUUGCCAAGUGUGAGGGGUGAGAAGGUUUGCUCAGCCUGUUACUGACCAAGCCGUUGGGAAUGGAGUUAUUGGUGGAGUCAGACCUGAUCAGCAAUCGUUAUGGUUGAUACUUUUAUCGAUGAGGAUGAUGUUUCAAGGAGACAAGGACAUGCAGGAAGUGGAGAAGAAAACAUAGGGGAUGAAAACAUAGUGGUUUUGGAACUUAUUUAUUCUUUUAUGUGUUGUGUCAGUGUGUGAUAAUUAUCAAAGUAAUGGUUUUUUUGUAAUAACAUGGAUCCUAUAUUUGUUUCUAUUAUAAAAUUUGUGUUUAUCAGAUUUCAAAUUUUACAAAAUUAUGACUAUUAUAAAAUUUGUACCA